UACGUAGGGCGCAAGCGUUGUCCGGAAUUAUUGGGCGUAAAGAGCUCGUAGGCGGCCUGUUGCGUCCGCUGUGAAAACCCGGGGCUUAACCCCGGGCUUGCAGUGGAUACGGGCAGGCUGGAGGCAGGCAGGGGAGAACGGAAUUCCCGGUGUAGCGGUGAAAUGCGCAGAUAUCGGGAGGAACACCGGUGGCGAAGGCGGAUCUCUGGGCCGUAACUGACGCUGAGGAGCGAAAGCAUGGGGAGCGAACAGG
rnacentral:rRNA from 1 species